GAGCAGCCCAGAGCCUGAAUCAGUGUGUGUGUUAGUGGAAGCGUCUGGAAAGGCGCGCGAUACAGGGUGACAGCCCCGUACACAAAAAUGCACAUGCUGUGAGCUCGAUGAGUAGGGCGGGACACGUGGUAUCCUGUCUGAAUAUGGGGGGACCAUCCUCCAAGGCUAAAUACUCCUGACUGACCGAUAGUGAACCAGUACCGUGAGGGAAAGGCGAAAAGAACCCCGGCGAGGGGAGUGAAAAAGAACCUGAAACCGUGUACGUACAAGCAGUGGGAGCACGCUUAGGCGUGUGACUGCGUACCUUUUGUAUAAUGGGUCAGCGACUUAUAUUCUGUAGCAAGGUUAACCGAAUAGGGGAGCCGAAGGGAAACCGAGUCUUAACUGGGCGUUAAGUUGCAGGGUAUAGACCCGAAACCCGGUGAUCUAGCCAUGGGCAGGUUGAAGGUUGGGUAACACUAACUGGAGGACCGAACCGACUAAUGUUGAAAAAUUAGCGGAUGACUUGUGGCUGGGGGUGAAAGGCCAAUCAAACCGGGAGAUAGCUGGUUCUCCCCGAAAGCUAUUUAGGUAGCGCCUCGUGAAUUCAUCUCCGGGGGUAGAGCACUGUUUCGGCAAGGGGGUCAUCCCGACUUACCAACCCGAUGCAAACUGCGAAUACCGGAGAAUGUUAUCACGGGAGACACACGGCGGGUGCUAACGUCCGUCGUGAAGAGGGAAACAACCCAGACCGCCAGCUAAGGUCCCAAAGUCAUGGUUAAGUGGGAAACGAUGUGGGAAGGCCCAGACAGCCAGGAUGUUGGCUUAGAAGCAGCCAUCAUUUAAAGAAAGCGUAAUAGCUCACUGGUCGAGUCGGCCUGCGCGGAAGAUGUAACGGGGCUAAACCAUGCACCGAAGCUGCGGCAGCGACGCUUAUGCGUUGUUGGGUA
rnacentral:rRNA from 1 species